UACGUAGGGUGCGAGCGUUGUCCGGAAUUACAGGGCGUAAAGAGCUCGUAGGUGGUUUGUCACGUCGUCUGUGAAAUUCCGGGGCUUAACCUCGGGCGUGCAGGCGAUACGGGCAAUACUUGAGUGCUGUAGGGGAGACUGGAAUUCCUGGUGUAGCGGUGAAAUGCGCAGAUAUCAGGAGGAACACCAAUGGCGAAGGCAGGUCUCUGGGCAGUUACUGACGCUGAGGAGCGAAAGCAUGGGUAGCGAACAGGAUUAGA
rnacentral:rRNA from 1 species